GACGAACGCUGGCGGCGUGCUUAACACAUGCAAGUCGAACGAAGUGGCGCACGGGUGAGUAACGCGUAAUCAACCUGCCAUUCAGAGGGGGACAACAGUAGGAAACGACUGCUAAUACCGCAUACAGAAGGAGGGGAUUGCGUCUGAUUGGCUAGUUGGAGGGGUAAGGGCCCACCAAGGCGAUGAGCAGUAGCCUGUCUGAGAGGAUGAGCGGCCACAUUGGGACUGAGACACGGCCCAGACUCCGACGGGAGGCAGCAGUGGGGAAUCUUCCGAAAUUGACGAAAGUCUGACUGAGCAACGCCGCGUGAGUGAUGACGGCCUUCGGGUUGUAAAGCUCUGUUAUUCGGGACGCGGUACCGGAAUAGAAAGCCACGGCUAACUACGUGCCAGCAGCCGCGGUAAUUC
rnacentral:rRNA from 1 species